rnacentral:rRNA from 1 species
UCCGACGUGCACGAAUGGUGUAAUGACUGGGGAACUGUCUCGAGGACUCGCUCGGUGAAAAUGCAUUUCCGGUGAAGAUGCCGGAUACCUGUAGUUAGACGAAAAGACCCUAGGAGCUUUACUACAGCUUCGUAUUGGUCCCGCGGGAUGUAUGCGUAGGAUAGGUGGGAGGCUUUGAAGUGACUCUUUCGGGAGUCAUGGAGCCGUCAGUGAAAUACCACUCUUACAUCCGGCGGGAUCUAAUCCCGCUGGAGAAACUAGCGGGAGACCGUGCGUGGCGGGUAGUUUUGGUGGGGCGCUAUCCUUGGGCCAAUGAAUGCAAAUUCGUUGGCCGAAGCCAUGGCGCCCCAUGAGGAGUAAUAGACCUCGAAACAAAUAAAUGAGGGGGCAUGAUGAAAAUCAUGGGCAGUUGGGAAUAUGCUGGAAAAACCGGGGAAUGGUAUACUACUUGCAAUGAUUAUAAGUAAAAAUGUAUACCUGCGGUCAAUCAGCAGGGAAAUCAAAAAAUAUGAGUGAAAGCAUUCAAGAAAGAGGUCCUCGUGGAGAGUUGCUGGACAAAGCUAGAGCCGUUUGGCAUCAACUUGAAAGUGCUUUAGAGCAAGGCACCGUUGAUGACCUAAAAGCUCUGAAGCCAGAAUUGUUGCGGUUAAUUGAACUUAUUGACCGAAACUCAUAAAUUCGACCCCUCAGAGACUACAAACCAACCAUCUGAAAAGAUGAAUGUAUAGUCCGCACUGCAUGGCGACGUGCAGAUAACAUAAUGGCCUAAAAAGUAACGGAGGAGUCUAUUAAGGUUCUCUAGCCGCGAAUGGAAACCGUGGCGAUAGUGUAAUGGCACAAGAGAGCUUAACUGCAAGACGGACAUGUCGAGCCGCGUAAAGUCGCCGCAAGGCGACCACGCGGGCACGAGAUUGAUUUAUCAAUUUUCGUGCCAGAUGCGAAAGCAGAGCAUAGUGAACCGAUGGUACGCCUUAGAUGCGGCCAAAGAUUAACGGAUAUAAGUUACCCUAGGGAUGGACUCUGAAAUAAGAGUUUGUUGUCCUCCCGCAGAGUAAUCUGCGGAUAUAAGAACGGCUUAUAACGGUGGACGGGGAAUGAGAGUUUUCUGAAUACCGUGGGAAGUCGUGAGUGAUAGAAUAAAGUUAUGCAUCUGACAAGGAAUCAAGAAGCAAUUCUGGUAGGGAGCGUUCUCGGGGAUGCAUUCCUCCAGAAGACCGGAGCACGUAAUGCGCGCCUACGGUUUGAGCACGGCGUGAAGCAAAAGGAGUAUCUUUUUUGGAAAGUGAAGGCGCUCACGCGUCUCUUCCAGGGCAGACCAACCCAUCUCUCGCGUGUGCAUCCUAAAACCAAAGCGACCUACGAGUAUUGGCGUGCGCAAUCAAAUGCGACACCGGAACUCGGGAAGUGGCGGGCGAUUUUUUACCCACAAGGUAAGAAACGAGUACCGGCAGACAUCGCAAAGUUCCUGAAAGAACCACUUGCGCUCGCUGUCUGGUACAUGGAUGACGGAUAUUAUUAUCCGAAAGAUAAAAACAGUUUCUUGUAUCUUGGCAGAGUUUCUCGUGAAGAAGCAGAGUAUACGUGCAAAGCGUUAGUCCAGAAUUUUGGACUCGCACCGCGUGUGUAUGAUAAGAAGCAGAAGGGAUUCGCUCUCUACUUCGGAGUCGCUGAAACGAAAAAAUUGCAUAAGGUGGUGCGGCGGCGUAUGCUGCUGCCCUUGUUCGCUUACAAAUUAGGCGACACUCAUUGACCCCGUAACGACUUGCGUACUCAUUGUACGCAGAGCAAGAGAUUACGCCGAAGUAAUCUCGAAGCUAAGACGCCGUCUCCCACCCUUUCGCUCGGAAAGAGCGGGAUGAAGAUAUAGUCUAAUCAUAGCCAAAAGUACGAAAGUACAGAUUGAACAGGCUAGUUCCGCCCAAGCGUCCAUAGCGACGGCGGAGUUCGGCACCUCGAUGUCGGCUCACCUUAGCGCGGGGCUGGAGAAGGUCCCAAGCGUUUGGCUGUUCGCCAAUUAAAAAGGUACGCGAGCUGGGUUCAGACCGUUCGGUAGGGAAGGCGCUAGAAAUUAGGCGCUAGGCACUAGCAGAGAUUGCUAAAGCCUAGUGCCUACGGCCUUAUCUUUCGAACGGUCUGAAUCCACGAGGAAUUGUUAGGUGCGUGGAGACGCAUUGUGCGUAAACGACAACUCACGGCGGUCGCGCAUAGGAAUAUGCGCGUUAGCAAAUCAACUGAUAUCGGUGGAAUCCAGCCCCAGUUUUGUAAUGCACUAAACUGGAGCUGGGCAACACCGAGGGAAGAAAAUUGUGAAUUUCAUAGAGGAGCUUGGGAGCGCUCGUGUGUUUGCGGCACGAGUUACAAGAAGCCGUUGUUUAGGCUAGGGGCUCUUGAGGUUGAAUCCUCUGGUGAGGGAAGCGGUUUAACAACCGUUGUAAAAAUUUCCUCACCUCUUCUAUGAAGUUCACAAUUGUCACCCGUAGAGACUGAAUGUUGGUCAUCGAGAACCGAUGGUGUUACAGUCCAAUCCCAUAAGUAAUUAUGGACGUAGAUGCGUGAGACAGGUUGGUCUCCUAUCUACUACAGGCGUUGAUUCUUGAGGAGGGUCGUCCCCAGUACGAGAGGACCGGGAUGAACUGACCUCUGGUCUAUCGGCUGUCGCGCCAGCGGCACCGCCGAGUAGCUAUGUCGGGUUGCGAUAACCGCUGAAAGCAUAUAAGCGGGAAACGCGCUCCAAGAUUAGGAAUCGUUAUGAGACUCGUGGGAGAUGACCACGUUGAUAGGCUCUAGAUGGAAGCGCCGCAAGGCGCGGAGUCGAGGAGUACUAAUAUGUCCAGUCU